AUAGCAAUUCUCAUAUAUUUUAUACGAGUAGUUAAUUAUGUCUGAACUUUUGUAUGCACAUAGCGUGAAUUAUGAUAUCCUCCACUUGUUAUUUGUUCAAACUAGCAAUGUUAUUUGACGAUACUAAAAAUAAACAUCCCAUGGAUACAAUAAUGGGAAAAGAAAGAGAGAAAUGUAAUCAAUUAUACUGUAGGACACCUUAGUCUUUACAUGAAUCAAGAUCAAUAGUGCAUGCCUUAAGGAACAGAAGAAGCACCAAUAUCCAUCAUGAGAAAACAGAGCUGCUCUCGCAGGAACAAAAC
rnacentral:lncRNA from 1 species